UGGGGAAUAUUGGACAAUGGGGGGAACCCUGAUCCAGCCAUGCCGCGUGUGUGAAGAAGGCCUUAUGGUUGUAAAGCACUUUAAGCGAGGAGGAGGGUACUGGUAUUAAUACUACCAGGUACUGGACGUUACUCGCAGAAUAAGCACCGGCUAACUCUGUGCCAGCAGCCGCGGUAAUACAGAGGGUGCGAGCGUUAAUCGGAUUUACUGGGCGUAAAGCGUGCGUAGGCGGCUAAUUGAGUCGGAUGUGAAAUCCCCGAGCUUAACUUGGGAAUUGCAUUCGAUACUGGUUAGCUAGAGUGUGGGAGAGGAUGGUAGAAUUCCAGGUGUAGCGGUGAAAUGCGUAGAGAUCUGGAGGAAUACCGAUGGCGAAGGCAGCCAUCUGGCCUAACACUGACACUGAGGUGCGAAAGCGUGGGGAGCAAACAGG
rnacentral:rRNA from 1 species